UUCAGAUUGGGUAGGCUGAGGAGAAGGAGUAUGUCUGGCUGUCUCAGAAGUGGCCGAGGUGGAAGAAAAUACUCAGAUAAGUAGUAUUGCAUAGUUCAAACCCAUGUUGUUCAAGGGUCAGCUGUAAAUCAUUGAUAUCUAUAUUAUUAAUCUAUCAUCUAUCUAUCUAUCUCAUCUAUACCUAUCUAUUCACAACAUAAUAUAUUAAAAUUGAUUUUAUUUCUACCCCCAACUUCAUGAUUUGCAUUUCUAUUGGGUUCUAACUUGACAGUAAAUAUUUUGUCAUUUCUAAUUUGUAUCCACAGGAUCUGGAUAUUUAAUAAAACGAUGAAUUUUGAUGAAUAUUGACUAUUAAUGGUGACAAAUAUUUACUGAGCAUUUUUUUGUGCAUAUUACAAAUACUUUCUCAUAACACAUUUGAGAGUUCUUACCAAAGACCUGUGAUUUAGAAGUCCUGCCACCUAUAAAGAAUGUAAUUGUCCAAGUUUAAAUGGCUAGUAAGUAGCAAAUGUAGCAUUUGAACCCAGGCAAUCUGGUUCUAGAAUUUUUUUUCUUAAUACUACAUAUAUACAAUUGUAAUGAACAAAUACGUGAAUUAAUAAAUGAGUGAAUGAAAACCUGUUUUACAUAAAAGCUUUAGGUUUUUAAAAAAAUCUCAACCAGAGUUUUUCAAUGAGUCCAGAACUUCUAUUUGCUAUGCGAUUCCCUAUGCUUUCAUUAAGGAUAGUUUUACAAUUGAAUCAGAAAUAUCUAUCUGAAAUCAGAAUACUUUUGUACAUUAUCAACUAAGAGCACUAAUUAGAGAAUUCUAUGAAAGAAGAAAGGCAACAAGGGCCCUAUGUAGCAUCAGCCAUGUUUAUUUCUUGCCAGUACGUUCUGCACUUCAAACACUCAUAUUCUGGCACUCCACAAUAGGUCUAUACAGUGUUAGAAAUGCAUUCUUAGUAUUUCCAGCCCAAAUUAUUAUCUGUUUUGAUGCAAAUUGCUAACAUCAAAUACAAAAACUAAAAAAAAUUUGACAAAACAUAGUAGCAAUAAAAAGAAAAUUCACAAUAGGCUGUAAGAAUUAGCAUUUCAAGCAUUGUGUGUAAAUGCAUCCUCUCCUAGAAGAGAGCAUAGUGCAUUUUAUCCCGUGCUUACAACAAGCCUAGAGUGGGCUAGCCAUAUAUUUACACAGAAUAUUUUACAUAGGAAAAAAUUAUAGAAUCCUCAUAACUAAAACCUAUUAAUGUUUUCCAAAAUCAUGUUACCAUCAUUUUAGGAAUAACAUAAGCAACUAUAUUUUAAUAAUGCAAUAACAAUGUGUUGGUGCAAAAUUUUUUUUUAAGUUGAAAAUGUCCUUCUCUAUUCAGAUGAGUUGUAUUAUGCUGUCAUGAUGUCAGUGCCUACAACCUGCAGCUGAUAGAACAGUUUCCUCUGGAAUAAAAGUUUGUUGUACCCUUAGGCAAUGAAGUAAAACAUCAACCUACAUGGCAGAUGAUAACAGGAAUAUUGAGAAUGAGGAAAAGAAUCCUGCAAAAUUGGGUAUAUAGAUACUAGGUCCUUCACUGGAUUAGAUAAAUAUAUUCAUUUUUCAUUCAACAACAUGGACAAGCACUCUUAAGCACUAAGAAUAUGAUUUGGAAUAAAAUGUAUAAAUCCCUCAUGGCAUUUGCAUACUAGUGCCUAUAAACAAAUAAUAAACAGAAUGAAGACUGUCAUAUUCAGAGAAGGUCUUAAACCAAAAUGACAGAGGCCUCUGAUUGAUUAGCUGCUGUUUCUAUUCCCCUAGAUAAGCCAAAUGAGGAUGAUGGAAUCUCAUUUACACAAGGACAUAUGAAAAGGAAUGGAAUAGAGAGUCCAGAAAUAAUGCCAUGCCUCUAUAACCAUCUGAUCUCUGAGAAAGUUGACAAAAACAAGCAGUGGGGAAAGGAUUCCCUAGGCAAUAAAUGGUGCUGGGAUGUCUGGCUGACCAUAUGAGAAGAUUGAAAAUAGACCCCUUCCUUAUAACAUACACACAAAUCGACUCAAGAUGGAUUAAAGACUUAAAUGUAAAACCCAAAACUGUAAAAACACUAGAAGAUAACCUAGGAAAUAGCAUUCUGGACAUAGGACCAGGCAAAGAUUUUAUGAUGAAGAUGCCAAAUGCGAUUGCAACAAAAAACAAAAAUUGACAAAUGGGACCUAAUUAAACUAAAGAGCUUCUACACAGCAAAAUAAACUAUCAACGGGUAAAGAGAUGACCUACAGAAUGGAAAAAACAUAUUUGCAAACUAUGCAUGCAACAAAGGUCUAAUGU
rnacentral:lncRNA from 1 species